AGUUUGAUCCUGGCUCAGGAUGAACGCUAGCUACAGGCUUAACACAUGCAAGUCGAGGGGAAACGACAUCGAAAGCUUGCUUUUGAUGGGCGUCGACCGGCGCACGGGUGAGUAACGCGUAUCCAACCUGCCCACCACUUGGGGAUAACCUUGCGAAAGUAAGACUAAUACCCAAUGAUAUCUCUAGAAGACAUCUGAAAGAGAUUAAAGAUUUAUCGGUGAUGGAUGGGGAUGCGUCUGAUUAGCUUGUUGGCGGGGUAACGGCCCACCAAGGCGACGAUCAGUAGGGGUUCUGAGAGGAAGGUCCCCCACAUUGGAACUGAGACACGGUCCAAACUCCUACGGGAGGCAGCAGUGAGGAAUAUUGGUCAAUGGACGAGAGUCUGAACCAGCCAAGUAGCGUGCAGGAUGACGGCCCUAUGGGUUGUAAACUGCUUUUAUAAGGGAAUAAAGUGAGUCUCGUGAGACUUUUUGCAUGUACCUUAUGAAUAAGGACCGGCUAAUUCCGUGCCAGCAGCCGCGGUAAUACGGAAGGUCCGGGCGUUAUCCGGAUUUAUUGGGUUUAAAGGGAGCGUAGGCCGGAGAUUAAGCGUGUUGUGAAAUGUAGACGCUCAACGUCUGCACUGCAGCGCGAACUGGUUUCCUUGAGUACGCACAAAGUGGGCGGAAUUCGUGGUGUAGCGGUGAAAUGCUUAGAUAUCACGAAGAACUCCGAUUGCGAAGGCAGCUCACUGGAGCGCAACUGACGCUGAAGCUCGAAAGUGCGGGUAUCGAACAGGAUUAGAUACCCUGGUAGUCCGCACGGUAAACGAUGGAUGCCCGCUGUUGGUCUGAAUAGGUCAGCGGCCAAGCGAAAGCAUUAAGCAUCCCACCUGGGGAGUACGCCGGCAACGGUGAAACUCAAAGGAAUUGACG
rnacentral:rRNA from 1 species